rnacentral:lncRNA from 1 species
GCGACUGGCGAGACCAAGGAAACUCGCUGCCUGGGUGCUGGCUGGACCUAUCGGAAACUUAGGUCUCCCGCAGCCGGGUGGUCGCCAACUCGAUUUGCCCCAAGCCUGGGAGCGACUGAAUAGGGACCGAAGGAAACAGGUGGAGAGGAACCUUGCCACCCUUGGCCCACCCCGGAAUUUGUAGAUGAGCUUUCCAGGAGCGCUGUGCAAGGCGACAGCGGCGUGCAGACCCGCUUUGGGACAGUGUUUGUAGCUUCAGUCUUCAACAUUUUUAAAUACAGUAUUUGCGCCUUUAGAUGGAAAAGAAUCCAUCAACUUGUAAAUGUGAAAUAUCCAGGCCAGCAAACUGAAGGUAAAGUCUACCUCACCCUUGCUUUUGGUUUACCUUAAUUUGCGUAUUACUUCUUAAAGAUAAAUCUCAAAGGUCUAUCAGGAAAUGUCUCAUGAAUUUCUCACAAAAGUAUCUUGAUUGGGUCCCAUGAGUGUUCAGGAAGUUUUAUUUCUAAUGCAGCCAUAAUUACUUUAAAAAAUAGUUUCUGUUUUGACCUGGUUAAUAACUAAAAAUGCACCUGCAUUUUUAACCUACAAGUAAAAUGAUAUAUGGUUCCGUCAAAUUACUUGUCAAAAGCUGAAAAAAAAGACUACACUUUAAAUUGACUAGUCACACCAUUUGUAAACCUUGAGGGUUUCGGGGGGGUCUACUUUCAUGUUGAAGAAAUAAUUUCACAAUUUCAAAUCAAAGUCAACACUGCAGUGAGGAGAGCUUUUCUACUUUAU